rnacentral:rRNA from 1 species
GACGAACGCUGGCGGCGUGCUUAACACAUGCAAGUCGAACGGAAAGGCCCUGCUUUUGUGGGGUGCUCGAGUGGCGAACGGGUGAGUAACACGUGAGUAACCUGCCCUUGACUUUGGGAUAACUUCAGGAAACUGGGGCUAAUACCGGAUAGGAGCUCCUGCUGCAUGGUGGGGGUUGGAAAGUUUCGGCGGUUGGGGAUGGACUCGCGGCUUAUCAGCUUGUUGGUGGGGUAGUGGCUUACCAAGGCUUUGACGGGUAGCCGGCCUGAGAGGGUGACCGGCCACAGUGGGACUGAGAUACGGCCCAGACUCCUACGGGAGGCAGCAGUGGGGAAUAUUGCACAAUGGGCGGAAGCCUGAGGCAGCAACGCUGCGUGCGGGAUGACGGCCUUCGGGUUGUAAACCGAUUUCGCCUGUGACGAAGCGUGAGUGACGGUAAUGGGUAAAGAAGCACCGGCUAACUACGUG